rnacentral:rRNA from 2 species
CCUACGGGAGGCAGCAGUGGGGAAUAUUGCACAAUGGGCGCAAGCCUGAUGCAGCCAUGCCGCGUGUAUGAAGAAGGCCUUCGGGUUGUAAAGUACUUUCAGCGGGGAGGAAGGGAGUAAAGUUAAUACCUUUGCUCAUUGACGUUACCCGCAGAAGAAGCACCGGCUAACUCCGUGCCAGCAGCCGCGGUAAUACGGAGGGUGCAAGCGUUAAUCGGAAUUACUGGGCGUAAAGCGCACGCAGGCGGUUUGUUAAGUCAGAUGUGAAAUCCCCGGGCUCAACCUGGGAACUGCAUCUGAUACUGGCAAGCUUGAGUCUCGUAGAGGGGGGUAGAAUUCCAGGUGUAGCGGUGAAAUGCGUAGAGAUCUGGAGGAAUACCGGUGGCGAAGGCGGCCCCCUGGACGAAGACUGACGCUCAGGUGCGAAAGCGUGGGGAGCAAACAGGAUUAGAUACCCCAGUAGUC